GUGUCACACAUCAUAUAUUCUACAGAUGGCCUGUAUCCAUUGCUUAAACAAGUAGUGGAAGAAGUUGGAGCCAGUCAUGUUUUGCAGGUGAUUACUAAUGGUGAUGAGCAUUAUAAUGUUGCUGGCAAAAGGUUGAUGGAUACUUUUCCCUCUUUGUAUUGGGCUCCUUGUGCUGCUCGUUGCAUUGAUCUGAUACUAGGGGAUUUUGGAAAACUAGAGUGGAUAAAUGCAGUAAUUGAACAGGCUAAAUCAGUCACAAGAUUUAUCUACAAUCAUAGCACAGUUUUGAAGCUGAUGAGAAAGUUUACUUUUGGAAAAGACAUUUUGCAACAGGGAAUAACUCGUACUCGUUCUGCUACUAACUUCACCAUGCUGCAAAGGAUGGCAGAUUUUAAGCUCAAUUUGCAAACUAUGAUUACCUCACAGGAGUGGAUGGAUUGCCCAUAUGCGAAGCAACUAGGAGGAUUGGCUACAUUAGAUAUUAUAAGUAAUCGGUCAUUUUGGUCUUCAUGCAUCUUGAUCAUCCGUUUAACAAGCCCACUCUUACGAGUUUUAGGAAUAGUUAGUAGUAAAAAGAAAGCUGCAAUGGGAUAUAUUUUUGCAGGAAUGUAUCAAGCAAAGGAAACAAUUAAGAGAGAACUUAUUAAGAGAGAGGAUUACAUGGUCUAUUGGAAUAUCAUGGAUCAAAGGUGGGAUCAACAGCAACAUCCCCCUCUUCAUGCUGCUGGUUUCUUCCUUAAUCCCAAGUUCUUUUAUAGUAUUGAAGGAGACGUGCAUAAUGAAAUUCUUUCAAGAGUGUUUGAUUG
rnacentral:misc_RNA from 1 species